AUGGGACACCCCCACCCCCCCCAUGGGGAUUUAUGGGGCACAAUGGGGUCCCCACUCAGCUCUGAGACCCCCCCCAAUCCCCCCAUGGGGACUUAUGGGGCACAAUGGGGUCCCCCCCACCAUGGGGACUUAUGGGGCUCAAUGGGGUCCCCCCCACCAUGGGGACUUAUGGGGCUCAAUGGGGUCUCCCCCCCCCCCACAGGAACUUACGGGGCACAUUGGGGUUCCCCCCCUUGUCACCUUUCUAUGGGGUCCCCUUUCUAUGGGGCACAUUGGGGUCUCCACUCUAUGGGGUCCCAUCUCUAUGGGGUCCCCUCUCUAUGGGGUCCCCUCUCUAUGGGGUCCCCUCUCUAUGGGGUCCCAUCUCUAUGGGGUCACCCCUCUAUGGGGUCCCAUCUCUAUGGGGUCCCAUCUCUAUGGGGUCCCUCCAUUAUGGGGUCCCCUCUCUAUGGGGUCCCCCCUCUAUGGGGUUCCCCCUCCAUGGGGUCCCCAUGGGGACUUACGGGGCACAUUGGGGUCCCCCCCCCUUGUCAUCUUUCUAUGGGGUCCCCUUUCUAUGGGGUCCCAUCUCUAUGGGGUCCCCAUGGGAACUUAUGGAGCACAAUGGGGUCCCCACUAAGCUCGGAGUCCCCUAUAGCUCCCAUAGGGUCCCCAUAGGGUCCCAUACCCCCCCCUCACCUUGAUGCACUGCACCCCGCUGUGGCUCCCCAUAGUGUCCCCAUAGGGUCCCAUAGGGUCCCCAUAGCCCCCCAUAGGCUCCCCAUAGUAUCCCCAUAGCACCCCAUAGUGUCCCCAUAAGGUCCCAUAGGGUCCCCAUUCCCCCACCCUCCCCCAUAGGGUCCCCCCUUCCCCAUAGCCCCCCAUGUCCCCAUAGGGUCCCCACUCAGACCCCAUCCCCAUAGGGUCCCCAUAGGGUCCUUAUUCCCCCCUCAUCUCCAUAGGGCCCGCAUACAGUCCCCCCUUCCCCAUAACCCCCCAUGUCCCCAUAGGAUCCCCGUAGGAUCCCAUAGAGCCCCCAUAAUGUCCCCAUAUAUUUAGUGUCCCCAUAGGCCAUAGGGCCCCCAUAGUUCCCCAUAUCCCCCCAUAUCCCCCCAUAGUUGUCCCUACCCCCCCCCCCUGAUGCAUGCCACGCCAUGCGCCCCCCCCCGCUUCUGACCCACACCAUAGGAUCCCCAAUCCCCCAUAUGAUCCCCUAUAUCCCCCCUCACCUUGAUGCACUGCACCCCGCUGUGGCUCCCCAUAAGUCCCACAACCCCCCUCCUCUUGUAUUCCCCAUUAGGGUCCCCAUCCCCAUAGGGUCUCCAUAGGGUCCCCAUAGGUCCCCAACGUCCCCAUAAGGUCCCCAUAGGUUCCCCAUCCCCAUAGGGACCAAAUAGAUCCCCAUUCACCCCCCUCCCCUACUAUCCCCAUAAGUCCCCAUAGAUCCCCAUAGGUCCCCAAUCCACCCCCCCCAUUCCCAAAGUUCCCCACAGCCCCCAGAGGACCCCAUAGGUCCCCAUAGAUCCCCCAUAGGGUCCCCAUU
rnacentral:lncRNA from 1 species